AACUUCAACCACAAAAGCCUCUUCUAAAUCUGAAGGCCAGCAUCAUUCAGUGAAGUGGAUUCACUCGGUGACAAGACACCUGUCACCCCUGAAGAAUAAAGCCGGUCCACAGCUGGAGAAAACAAAGCGAGGUGGUUCAGCUUUAAAGGCAGUCUUUCGGGGAAGAUCACUUUCUAUUUAAAGCUAAUUCCAAAACUUCGGAGGAGGUGAACCCACCUUAUUCAGAAUGAGAGCAGCAGAAGAGUUAAGAGAUAAAGACCUCCAUUAAGGCUAAAGCUACAGCAUUGAAGUGGAACUCCAUGUGUACUGGACUGCCUCAGAGGACAGGAAACCGUUUCUGCCAAGACACCCAGGCUCUUCCACCAUUUAGUUUCAGAUAUGAGAACCACAGAUUUUCCGAAGCCUGAAACUGCCUAGGGAAAUGUCACCACCCUCAAGAAAUGCAGCACUCGCUGGGCCUCUCGCGGCUAAGAAAU